rnacentral:rRNA from 1 species
AAUCUCUUAACGAGGAACAAUUGGAGGGCAAGUCUGGUGCCAGCAGCCGCGGUAAUUCCAGCUCCAAUAGCGUAUAUUAAAGUUGUUGCAGUUAAAAAGCUCGUAGUUGAAUUUCGGGAUCAAUUUAUCGGUCGUGCCAAUGGUAUGAACUGGUACAAUUGGUUUCUCCCUUCUGACGAAGCAUGAUGUCAUUAAUUUGGUGUCGUGGGGAAUCAGGACUGUUACUUUGAAAAAAUUAGAGUGUUUAAAGCAAGCAUUAGCUUGAAUACAUUAGCAUGGAAUAAUGAAAUAGGACGUUUGAUCCUAUUUCGUUGGUUUCUAGGAUCGACGUAAUGAUUAAUAGGGAUAGUUGGGGGCAUUAGUAUUCAAUUGUCAGAGGUGAAAUUCUUGGAUUUAUUGAAGACUAACUACUGCGAAAGCAUUUGCCAAGGAUGUUUUCAUUAAUCAAGAACGAAAGUUAGGGGAUCGAAGACGAUCAGAUACCGUCGUAGUCUUAACCAUAAACUAUGCCGACUAGGGAUCGGAUGAUGUUAAUUUUUUAAUGACUCAUUCGGCGCCUUACGGGAAACCAAAGUGUUUGGGUUCCGGGGGGAGUAUGGUCGCAAGGCUGAAACUUAAAGGAAUUGACGGAAGGGCACCACCAGGGGUGGAGCCUGCGGCUUAAUUUGACUCAACACGGGGAAACUCACCAGGUCCAGACAUAGUAAGGAUUGACAGAUUGAGAGCUCUUUCUUGAUUCUAUGGGUGGUGGUGCAUGGCCGUUCUUAGUUGGUGGAGUGAUUUGUCUGGUUAAUUCCGAUAACGAACGAGACCUUAACCUGCUAAAUAGCUAGGCUUAGCAUUGCUAGGUCGUCAGCUUCUUAGAGGGACUAUCGGUGUUUAACCGAUGGAAGUUUGAGGCAAUAACAGGUCUGUGAUGCCCUUAGAUGUUCUGGGCCGCACGCGCGCUACACUAAUGAAGUCAACGAGUUCACUCCCUUUGUCGGAAGACAUGGGUAAUCUUUUGAAACUUCAUCGUGCUGGGGAUAGAGCAUUGCAAUUAUUGCUCUUAAACGAGGAAUCCCUAGUAAGUACAAGUCAUCAGCUUGUGCUGAUUACGUCCCUGCCCUUUGUACACACCGCCCGUCGCUACUACCGAUUGAAUGGCUUAGUGAGGACUUCGGAUUGAGCUUCGGAAGCUGUAAAAGGCAUCCGAUUUUUAAAAAGUUGUUCAAACUUGGUCAUUUAGAGGAAGUAAAAGUC